GGCAGGCCUAACACAUGCAAGUCGAGCGGUAACAUUUCUAGCUUGCUAGAAGAUGACGAGCGGCGACGGGUGAGUAACGCGUAGAAAUCUGCCUAGUAGUGGGGGAUAGCCCAGAGAAAUUUGGAUUAAUACCGCAUACGCCUACGGGGAAAGCGGGGAGUCUUCGGACCUCGUGCUAUUAGAUGAGUCUGCGUCGGAUUAGCUUGUUGGUGAGGUAAUGGCUCACCAAGGCGACGAUCCGUAGCUGGUCUGAGAGGAUGACCAGCCACACUGGAACUGAGACACGGUCCAGACUCCUACGGGAGACAGCAGUGGGGAAUAUUGCACAAUGGGCGCAAGCCUGAUGCAGCCAUGCCGCGUGUGUGAAGAAGGCCUUAGGGUUGUAAAGCACUUUCAGCAGUGAGGAAAGGGGUGUCGUUAAUAGCGCCAUCCUGUGACGUUAACUGCAGAAGAAGGACCGGCUAACUCCGUG
rnacentral:rRNA from 1 species